AGAGAACAAAGUUAUGCACCUAAAGGAACUCAUUUUCACCAAUUUGUGGUUCCUCCAAUUUUGGCAUUUAGAAGAGACUGUACUUAUGGUGAUCUUGCAGCUAUGAGAUUACCAGAAGAUGUUCAAGGAGUUUCUACUUGUGAGUAUACAAUGGAGAGAGGGGUAGUCCAUGCAUGCCAUGCAGGAGGGGUGGUUCAUUCAUUAGAAGGAUGGACACAUCAUGAAGUUGGGGCUAUUGAUGUAAACAGAAUUGACUUAGUUUGGGAUGCAGCUAUGAAACAUGGUUUAAAACCAGUUUCAUUUCUCAAAAAGACAGAUUAAUUAAAUUAAUUAAUUAAUUUGUGAAGUCAAUGAUGAAAAGGCCAAGAAAAAAAAAAAGAGGAUUGGCUUGGAG
rnacentral:misc_RNA from 1 species